CUUAACUACCCACAAUCCAGUUGUCCCUCCGUAGAAAGCGCACAAUUUGAUACAGGUGUGUCGGGAGGUUGAUACAUCUGCGCCUGCAGGUAUAAAAACAUUUGUUUGAACGGGCUUUGUGCACUUUCAGCCCGGGCAUCUAGGGAGGUAACAGGAGCACACAGGCUAAGACGCACAGUCAGAAGCAGCACUGAACAUGUCGGACUCUGAGAGCGCUGCUGCCCCCGCCGAGGCCCCCGUGCCCGCUGCCUGUGAGGCCAUCAAGGCUGACCUGGACAAGUGUGUGAAGGAGAAUGGCGAGGAGGGCUGCAAGGAGCUGAUGGAGGCGUUCGCAGCCUGUGUGAAGAGCGCCGCUGGGGCGUCGUGAGGAGAGGAGCUCGGCUCACAGGAAAUGUCCACUGCACUGAGUCCUCCACCUUCCCAGCAUUCCCUUCUGCACAUGGCACUGGACUGAAUGAUACAGAUUCUGAUGGGGGUUUGGUGGCAGAGUCUUGUCUUGUCCCCUCGAUCCACCCCCCCCCCCCCCCCUCCUGUAAAGCUUAAGUGAUUUCUGAGCCUCCCCUCUCUGUCCCCUGCCCCUAUGGCUGAAUUGUAGGCAGUUCUGGAGAGCCCAUGGCUGUUUUAUGUAAAUUGUCUUCUCAAGAUGCUUACAUUUAAAUGCAAAUAAUAAAGUGAUGAUUGGUACAGUG